UUCUUUCAGACGCAGCCAGAUGGAAUCCGUGGCAGAGGGCCCCGUCCCGGGUGAGGGGGGUCCCCCGAGAAGGAACUAAAGCCAGAUAGUAGCGGUCAAGGUAAGUGGGCAAGGUGAGCAGUGAGCGGUGGCAGGCAGCAGUUGUUCUUGCUCCGGUCUCAAUUCCCGGUGCAGCUCUUAGGCUCCGUUCUUGUUUGCGUGCUCUAGGCGGUCCGCUCGUAUUACGCCGAGACCCCCCUCAGCAACGGGGCCGCAGACCCCCGCUUCGUCACUCUCGUGGGAAUUCGGGAAGCAGUGCACGGAACUGUGAUGAAGCCUUGAUCUUUGUCGUUUGAAGGUGUCACCCGGGGAGCCUUCAGGAGCGGCCGAGGAAUUGCUGCAGACCCUGCCGCGAGGGCAUCGGCCUCCGGGCGCGGCCAGAUGAGGCGGACGUUCUUAGGAGAAUGGUGAGUAGCAGAAUUG